rnacentral:rRNA from 1 species
AUUGAACGCUGGCGGCAUGCCUUACACAUGCAAGUCGAACGGUAACAGGUCUUCGGACGCUGACGAGUGGCGAACGGGUGAGUAAUGCAUCGGAACGUGCCCAGUCGUGGGGGAUAACUGCUCGAAAGAGCAGCUAAUACCGCAUACGACCUGAGGGUGAAAGCGGGGGACCGUAAGGCCUCGCGCGAUUGGAGCGGCCGAUGUCAGAUUAGCUAGUUGGUGGGGUAAAGGCCUACCAAGGCAACGAUCUGUAGUUGGUCUGAGAGGACGACCAGCCACACUGGGACUGAGACACGGCCCAGACUCCUACGGGAGGCAGCAGUGGGGAAUUUUGGACAAUGGGCGCAAGCCUGAUCCAGCAAUGCCGCGUGCAGGAAGAAGGCCUUCGGGUUGUAAACUGCUUUUGUCAGGGAAGAAAUCUUCUGGGCUAAUACCCCGGGAGGAUGACGUACCUGAAGAAUAG